UAAUAAUAACAAUACAAUUUAUGUAUGUAUAUAAAAGGUAAUACAUUGAAACGAGACAUGAGGGAUUGGCUUUUUCUCCUCUUCGGUAGAACUCCAAGAACUUUUUGCGAAAAGUCUAAACUAGAAUUUCUCUCGCAUAGAUUGAGGUUGUGGUGUGUGUGAUACUGAUAGUGGCUCUGAAAUGGAAGGAAAUAUGAGGUAAAGGAAAGGCAAAGACUGAAUAGGAGUGAACCUGAGCUCGGGUGAGAUUGUACAUGUCAAAGCAGCGCGACCUGGAGUGUUCGGUCUCGGGACAUCUGGGGAUUUGUAUUUUGGUAGUCGCUGUCCGACCUGUAAUAAAUGUAUAUUUUGAAAAGUUAAUUUUAUAAAGUUUGAAAACGGGAUCCCGAUAUAUGUAAAUAUUUUAUUAUAUUAUGAAGUUUAAUAAUUAAUAUAAAAGUUUUA